UGGCCUUUCACGCUUCGACGAUGUCAAUUUCCAAUAAGGUUAUGUUAUGCUAUGACUAUCAAUAAGAGCCAAGGGCAGACUUUGUCUAAGAUAUGCUUAUAUUUCUGGGGGCCAGUAUUUUCACAUGGACAGUUGUAUGUUGCGGUAUCACGCGUUAUUUCACGCAGUGGUCUCAAGUUCUGGAUUAAGGAUGACCGUGGGUGUCCAUCUUCCGAGACUAGAAAUGUAGUUUAUAGAGAAAUUAUCUUAAGAUUGUAA
rnacentral:rRNA from 1 species